AAUGUUUCGGGAAAAAAUGAAACCGAACCGGCCUCAAAAAGCACUAAUCGCAGGGCAUGGAAUCACGCACACACGCACACACACACACCAUAUCUAUGUACACUCUCAACACUUUCAAAUMAAUUCCUAUUGUAAUUAGCGGUUGAUUUGAGGGUGGCUUCUAUAUUAAUUAUACAUCCACCCAGUUUUGGGCCUGAGUAUCAAGCAGCAAGACAUGGGAGAUACAGCCGGCAGGGUGUUACAGGCUUGUUGCCAUGACAACAGGCGAAUGUUUCCCGGCACUGGCUGACACACACACACACACCAUUACAGUGGAAUCUGCCUUGCUUGGAGAUUCCACUCUGCGGUGCAGUUGAAGACAUUUAGAAGCAGGCAAAGACACAGACAGGACAGAGGGUGAUUCAAUAGGAGAACAACUGAAAAGGGAUAUACUCUCCUAUCCUCAUUCAUUCUGAUGUGUAAUGAGGAGUCUGCAGCCAGCCAGCCUGUGUGCCGUGCAGCAGCAGAGACGAGAGGAGCAGAGAGAAAACAUACAGCACAGCAGCUAAAGGCAAGAUGGCUUCAACAGCCUGCUGAGGCAGUGUGCAGGGUUUAGAACCUUCUUCUGCUAUUCUGGAAUCUAACCGGGAUCUAAGAAGGGAAGCGCUUGGUUCUCAAGCGUUCUAGAUCAAAGGAGAUCAGCUCCAAUGAGUGUACCUGCAGCAGCAGCAGCACAGAAAGCAGACAGCAACAGUGAAAUGCAGUCACCUGCAGUGUCUCCCUCCUUCCUCCCCAGCCAGCCAGGAAAGAUUCCAGGCAGGAAGAGGGGGAGACCCCCACUACAUCGCAAGAUGGAUUUUCCAACCCGCUACCCUGAAUCCCUCCCUCCCCUCAAAGUGCCCAAGAAGAGGGGGAGAAAACCUGGCUU